UACGUAGGGUGCAAGCGUUAAUCGGAAUUACUGGGCGUAAAGCGCGCGUAGGCGGCUUUGCAAGUCGGGUGUGAAAUCCCCAAGCUUAACUUGGGAACUGCAUUCGAGACUGCAUUGCUAGAGUAUGGGAGAGGGAAGUGGAAUUCCGGUGUAGCGGUGAAAUGCGUAGAUAUCGGAAGGAACAUCAGUGGCGAAAGCGACUUCCUGGACCAAUACUGACGCUCAUGUGCGAAAGCGUGGGGAGCAAACAGG
rnacentral:rRNA from 1 species